UACGUAGGGGGCUAGCGUUGUCCGGAAUCAUUGGGCGUAAAGCGCGUGUAGGCGGUCCGGUAAGUCUGCUGUGAAAGUCGGGGGCUCAACCCUCGAAUGCCGGUGGAUACUGUCAGGCUAGAGGUAGGUAGGGGAGAUCGGAAUUCCUGGUGUAGCGGUGAAAUGCGCAGAUAUCAGGAGGAACACCGGUGGCGAAGGCGGAUCUCUGGGCCUUACCUGACGCUCAGGCGCGAAAGCUAGGGGAGCGAACAGG
rnacentral:rRNA from 1 species